rnacentral:rRNA from 1 species
AACGAACGCUGGGGGCAGGCUUAACACAUGCAAGUCGAGCGCCCCGCAAGGGGAGCGGCAGACGGGCGAGUAACGCGUGGGAACGUACCCUUUGCUACGGAAUAGCUCCGGGAAACUGGAAUUAAUACCGUCUAUGCCCUACGGGGGAAAGAUUUAUCGGCAAAGGAUCGGCUCGCUUUGGAUGAGCUAGUUGGGGGGGUAAUGGCCUACCUAGGGAACGAGCCAUAGUUGGUCUGUGAGGAGGAUCAGCCACAUUGGGACUGAGACACGGCGCAAACUCCAACGGGAGUCAGCGGUGGGGAAUAUUGGACAAGGGGCGCAAGCCUGAUCCAGCCAUGCCGCGGGAGUGAUGAAGGCCUUAGGGGUGUAAAGCUCUUUCACCGGAGGAGAUAAUGACGGUAUCCUGAGAAGAAGCCGCGGCUAACUUCGUGCCAGCCGCCGCCGUAACAC